CACGUUAAACUUUACUUUAUUUAAAAACUUAUAUACCGCCAUCUUCAGAUCAAAUUAAAAAAUACUUUCCAAAAAAACAUUAAAAAGUUAGGUCAAGGUGUAAUUAAUAUUAAAGAGUUAGAUAAAUUACAUUAAAUAUAAUUUAAAGAUUAUAAAUAAAUAUAAUUAUACAAAUUAGGAUUUAAAUGUAUUAUUAAAAUAAUAAUAUAAUAUGAUAUAAAUAAUAAAUGUGCACACAUCGCCC
rnacentral:rRNA from 1 species